rnacentral:rRNA from 1 species
GACGUAGGGCGCGAGCGUUGUCCGGAUUUAUUGGGCGUAAAGAGCUCGUAGGCGGCUUGUUGCGUCGACUGUGAAAACCUGCGGCUCAACCGUGUGGUCUGCAGUCGAUACGGGCAGGCUGGAGUUCGGUAGGGGAGACUGGAAUUCCUGGUGUAGCGGUGAAAUGCGCAGAUAUCGGGAGGAACACCUAUGGCGAAGGCAGCUCGCUGGGACGUUACUGACGCUGAGACGCGAAAGCGUGGGGAGCAAACAGG